rnacentral:rRNA from 1 species
ACGGACAAAGGGCAGCAAACUCGCGAGAGCUAGCAAAUCCCAUAAACCGGGCUCAGUUCAGAUCGUAGGCUGCAACUCGCCUACGUGAAGUAGGAAUCGCUAGUAAUCGCAGGUCAGCAUACUGCGGUGAAUACGUUCCCGGGCCUUGUACACACCGCCCGUCACACCAUGGAAGUUGGCCAUGCCCGAAGUCGUUACUCCAACCCUUGUGGAGGAGGACGCCGAAGGUGGGGCUAAUGACUGGGGUGAAGUCGUAACAAGGUAGCCGUACCGGAAGGUGCGGCUGGAUCACCUCCUAA